AAAAUUAGGGCAACCUGAACCAUCCUCUUGUUUGCCUCUCCUUCCUUUCACCCUCUCUGUGGCGCUGAAGCUAAAGCUGAAGGGUUCUUCACUCUCCAUUUGAUUGAUCAAAAUGUACACUUAGAGGAAGAAAAUCCACAAGGAUAAGGAUGCUGAAUUUGAAGAGACUGUUGCACAGUACUUAUUUGACUUUGGAGAAUACCAAUCAGGAUCUGAAAAGUGACUUGAAAGAUCUCUAUAUCAAUCAAACAAUGUAAGGGUGUUAUGAAUGAUGAAUUGAUUUCGCUUAACUCUCGUUUAUUGAAACUAAGAACGGAAAAUAUUUGCUCUGUAUCUUUGUUAAGAAAAUGUAAGUCAGCAUCAAUUUGUUUCCUUCAAGGUUUAAUUGAAUAAUGUUCCUCAAAAUUCUGAGAUUGGUGGUGUUUCUGUUUUUGUUGUUUUUUAUUUUGUUUUGUUUUUCUUAUAAUAGGUAUUAAUACUUAAUACUGUCUUUUGAAAUUGUUUAUUUCUCAUGCAACCUGGAACUAUAAAAUUUUUCACCUCUGUAUUUUGGUCAUCUAAGUGGCUGUAUUGUUUGUUGGGUAUUUUUUUUUAUUUUCCUUUAGUUGUGCUCCGCAAAAAUAGAAAAAGCACUCCAUACUUAUGUCAUACUUUUCUAUGUUGAGGACUAGAUGAUUGAUGAUUCUGUAGUGUAUAUUUCAAAACCAUUAAAAGGUUCAUAUUUAAAUUAUGGGAUUUUUCAUUUUUAGGAACCUUGUAUUUCUUUGAUCACUUUAAAAAAGUUAGAUCUAUGUCUAAGAGAUUUACCUUUUUUUACUUUCCAUUACAUAUUUUUCUACAUUGCCUUUAAACCAUUUCACUGAUCCCAUUAUUCUUGCAUGUAAACUGCUGUCACAUGUGACACAUAAUUGCAAGAUUCACUUUCAGAAAACAUGUUAUUAAUCACUCCCAAGCCACCGUAAGAAAAAAAAAAAGUGAUGGA